GUCUUUGUAGUAUAUCAAAUACACUGGCCUUGUAAACCAGAAAAGGAGAACAAACCAACCUCCCUAAGACUU
rnacentral:tRNA from 2 species